rnacentral:tRNA from 1 species
AGCCAUGUAGCUUAGUCGGUAGAGCACUUGCCUGGCAUGCACAAAACCCUGGGUUUGACCCCCAGUUUGGUGG